UCGGGGAGGCCCCCAGCGCCCUGCAGCGCAGCAGGAGGUGUCCCCGGUGCGGGGAUGCUCACCAGGGGAAGAGGUGCACUGACCAGCUGAAGAGAUUUAGGGGUUCCUGGGUACUGCAAACCGUGGGGGUGGAGAGUGCUAAGACAUUAGUUAACCCAGGGUUGUGGUUUUGGUUGUAGGGAGUUCAGAGGUAGCCUGAUGUGUGUGGCUGAGGUUCCUCUUACGUCUGACCUGCUAAAGGUUUUGGAAGCUCUUGUGAAACAGCAUGUUGCCUGUGAUUUUAAGGUUUUUAUUCUUUUGGGUCUGCACAUAGGCAAGACAGUAAGACCAUGCAACGCCUGAACCACCUGCUGAGGUACCCUCUACCCACGCUCCAAACGAGUCCAUUGCUUUGGUCGUGCACGCUGCCAUGCCUUACCCAAUGCCGAUACCUGGGCCAGCCUGCAGCACAGCCAACUCGCUGCCGCAGCUCUUGGUGAUUACUGUUGUCUGCUUGCUUGCCUGCAGUUACUCCCAAAGAUCAGCAAAUACUUUAAAUCCUUGACUGUAGAAGAAAAAGCAACACUGAGUCCCUUGAAGGAGAGUUCUUUGUAUACGAUGACCAUGGCCUGAUAAAGCUGAGGCACACUGCUUCAACAGAUCUGGAGUAAGUGAUCUGGUUUUUUGCCAUCUAUGUUUGUAGUCGUUUGUAUCAAAUGUGUAGAUGAUUUAAAAAAAACCCCAAACAAUAAACCAAAACUUGGUGUGAAUUGCGAGUUGGCUGCAUAAAUCUUUUCCAUAUCAACUUACUGAAUAUUCAUUGUUACUAAGUCGCUUAAAGCGAUUACUUGUCUACCAGGUCUGAAACUUGUUCCGGGAGGAUCGAAUGUUGCAGCUGCACUGAACCUGAUUGAUUUCAGUUUGGUUCUGCAUGGGUGCUUGAGUCCACCUGCAUAGAAGAAAUACAUAUAUAACUCCAGUUCUAAAAAAAUAAGAUUCCAUUUUGCAGCGUGUAUGUCGAAUUAAAGAGCCUGCUUGGACCCAUGUUCUCCUAGGUAGAGGUGGGGCAGGAUAAUGAAGGUAGUGUUACUGUCAGUACCCGUACGCGCACUGACUGAGAGAGGCGGAACUGCUGUGUAACAGCAGGGAAGGUGCAGAAUCCAAUUAAAGCUUUUAAUGUUUGGGUUUGCUGAUGGGUUUUGCCAUUUCAAAUGUUAUACUUGCAGUUCAUGUUUGCCUAUCUUUGUUACUUGGUAAAUUUUAAAUUGUAAGAACUGGAGAUGGCUUUGUAGGUUUUUUACAAAAUUUCAUACCUGUCUUCAGCCAAGUGAGAUGGAAAGAAGGGAUUAAUUUGAACUUCAUGGUAUUUUAAUGAUUUUUUUCACUGCUGUGGAUUGGUUUUGCUCCCUGUAGUCUCUGUCGUUUAUUGCAUUAGCGCUGCAGUACAAUGUUGGUGGGGGAUACUGUUUUAUGAACUAUGGUGUCUCAGUGUUGCUGAAGUUGCUCAUCAUUUAAUACAGCCUAAUUGAUGCUACUACAAACCAUUCCAAAAUAAUAAACCCCCCCCACAUUUCUGCCUUACCUGGGUGAAGGUCACUUCGUCUUUAGUGAGCGUGUAAAGCCAAAGAAAUACUUGAUCCGUAGCUUGUAAGAGGGAUAUAAGCAGAAGUCCUUUUCUAUGUGAAGAACUCAAGGUUUAGGCCUGAAGAAUAAAAGAACUGAAAGAGUUUCAUGCUGCGAGGUGGUUCAGAGGUAUACCCUUUUUCAUUAUAUACUAUGUUUCAAAAGUUACCAGUCAGUUAUUUUAAGCUCAUCAGGUUUAAACUUUCCCUUUGUUUUGCCAGCUAGAUAAAAAUUAUUUUUACAGAACAUGGCUUUAAAUGCUUCCUCUGGAGCACUGUAGGUAAAACAUUACUUCCCCCUUCCCCCUCCCUGAUGAAAUAUGGACUUCUCUAAAAUAUUUAGUGGUUGUUUUAAUUCUGCUAUUGACCAGUUGCUUCUAUGUGAAAAGUCCCAGAAACGGUUUAGUACUGCCACCAGAGCCACUGGCAGCUGGUUUAACGAUUCCCCUGACUUGUCCCAUGUGGUUUGAUGGCUGCAUCUCGCCUGGGCCCGCGGGGUGUGGGUGGCAGUGGUGUCUCGGGCUGGGGUUUCUCCCCGCUCCCCUUGCUGCCACUCAGCCCUGCACAGCUCUGUGGCUCGGAGGAGCAGGCGGGGAGGUGUGGAGCCCUCCUGCUAUGGAUGUUACCCUUCGCUUUGGGGCUGGAAGGGGCUUACAAGCUUUUCUGAAGAGGCAGCUUGGCUGUUAAUAUCCCUCUACAGAACCUGGGAGGAGUACAGAAGUCUUUUUGAUAAGUGAUACAACGAUUGCUUUACACAUUUUGCUCCUUUCCCCUACUUACUGUAUUCUCCUCUUCCCCCUUUGUUAAAUAGUGCUACCGGAGAAGAUGCACACCACCAGGUGCAUUUGUGCUUUAUCUGCUCUGUGCGUGUACAGGCGCGUGCUCCAGUGCCGGAUCCGUGCCACUGGUGUCAGUGUCAGCCGCUGUGGAGGGAUGGGCCGGUGCCUGAGCCAGGUGCAGCCCUCCUGCAGCUCCAACUGUCACCGGCCCUGGAGGUGGCUGUAGGUAUCCUGCGGGCGGUGGGAAAGGCUACGGCGACGUGAAAGCUGCCGGCUACAGAAAGCGAGGGAUGGGAGAGAGUCACCCGAUGUUUGUCACUCAUCAUCACCCCCUGCCUGCUCUGAUCUCCCGCGGGAGCAGGGGGGAACCUCGGGGAGAGUACCUUGGCACAGCGGGGCCUCCGGGCAUUGCCCCACGCCCCGCAACCGGCCCCCGCACCGCACUCGCUGCUUGUGACACCGUGACACCGUCCCGGUCCCU